GUUAGUGUGUUUGUUAGUGUGUGUGUGUGUUAGUGUGUGUGUCUGUUAGUGUGUGUUUGUGUGUUAGUGUGUUUGUUAGUGUGUGUCUGUUAGUGUGUGUUUGUGUGUUAGUGUGUUUGUGUUAGUGUGUGUGUUAGUGUGUGUGUCUGUUAGUGUGUGUUAGUGUGUGUGUCUGUUAGUGUGUGUUUGUGUGUUUGUGUGUGUGUGUGUGUGUGUGUUAGUGUGUGUUUGUGUGUUAGUGUUAGUGUGUGUGUGUUAGUGUGUUAGUGUUUGUGUUAGUGUGUUAGUGUGUGUGUCAGUGAGUGUCUGUUAUUGGGUGUGUGUCUGCUAGUGAGUGUGUUAGUGUGUGUGUCUGUUACUGAGUGUGUUUGAU